rnacentral:rRNA from 1 species
GUGCCAGCAGCCGCGGUAACACGUAGGGCGCAAGCGUUGUCCGGAAUUAUUGGGCGUAAAGAGCGCGCAGGCGGUUCAUCAAGUCGAAUGUGAAAGCCCCCGGCUUAACUGGGGAGGGGCAUUCGAUACUGCUGGACUUGAAGGCAGGAGAGGGAAGUGGAAUUCCCGGUGUAGUGGUGAAAUGCGUAGAUAUCGGGAGGAACACCAGUGGCGAAGGCGACUUCCUGGCCUGUUCUUGACGCUGAGGCGCGAAAGCUGGGGGAGCAAACGGGAUUAGAUACCCCAGUAGUCC